CUGUGCAGAGGAACCAAAGAUGGAUACCACAUGUGGCUUUGGGGAGGACUAGUGUAAAGUCUACCAAUGUCCAAGGCAUGGCCUUGGUAGAAAGAGGACCACUACUGCUACUCACUGACCAAGUAGUCCUCUGGAGUGGACCAGGAUCUUCUAGCCUUCAAAAACCCUUUAUAACCCCCAAACAGCACCUUCAUCCUGUCAUCCAGGCUCAAGGAGAAACCACAGAGCUUGCAGGAAGAAGAGGCCAUGUGAGUAGAGAGUGAGAACUCGGCUGCCUAUGAGCCCAUACGAAGAAGCCUCAGGAUGAAAGCUACCUGACCAACACCUUGAUUUUGGACUCUUCUAGAACAUGGGAAAUAAAUUUUUGUUGUUUUAUAAGCU
rnacentral:lncRNA from 10 species